UACACACUGCGAAAGGAUUUUUGGACUCCGAACACGAUUAUGACAUUCACCCACUCUGCCAAGUUCAUCAGGCAAAUAAGGAAAGAAAAUAGGUAGUUUAAAUAUUAACCAGUUCAGUUUUUUGGACAAUCACCUCCUAAAACAGACCCAGAAACUAAUUUUCAGCCGGUACACAUUCACCUCACAAAGCAGGGUGGGUUUCAGCUAACAGAUCUCAGAGGCCAUCCAUCCCAGCACUGACGGUCCCCGGGCACGCAUUGGAAACUGGAUGGCUACGUUGCCAGCCAGAGGGCCAUAAGUGAAAGUCCAGGAGGUAAGCUGAUACCUUCAUUUUAGUCCAGGUCAGCAUAUGCUGAUGAGUUUUAAAGGGGGAAUUCAAGAAGAUGUGGAGAUAGCUCCAGGCUUGCUUUUCAAUGUUUCAAAGUCAUUUUCCUCCUUGAGUGGCCAUCAUCUCAAAUCAUCCUCAGUGUCCCGGUGCUGCCAUCUGUGAACAGGUGCACUGAUUUGUGAUAGGUAAAUGCCAAGUGCUCAGCCCAGAAAAUUGUCAUCUGAAUGAUUUACGUGCGCGUCUUGAGCCCCAUCAGGCACUAAAGAGACGGAUGCUGUGCUAAUACAUCUCACAUUUGUCAACAUUAAUUUAAGGCACUCCGAGUUGGCAGCCAAAAGCAUACUUCUCAACAAGCAGCCAACUUUUCUUCUAUUAAAUCUUUAGGAGAAUACAUUACCAACUUCUGGGAAAUACCAUUUGCAAGAAGCUGAGCUGGAGUAAAUUGAGGAAUGUGGUAGUGUUAAGUUGCCUGCCCCAAACACGUUCAGUCCACAGUACACACAUGUGACCAGCAAGUCAGAUGGUGUCCUUGUCUCCAAGGCCUCCAAGAUUGUCUCUGCCCAAGAACACCCACUGAGAAGGCUCAGGCUGCCCUGCGGAUUUGCCAUUCUGGAAGGAGGACCAAGAAGCACUGCAGUGACAGAGGACAGGUUCAGAGUCUGUGUUCUGAGAAGAGAAGGACAGGAGAUGGAGAAGAAACUCCGGGACCAUGAGCUCUGGGAGCUCAUGAUCCAGCUGAAAAAUAAGAUGGCACCCAUGAAAGUAUGAGGAACACUGUUGAGCAGCAAAUGUACCAAGAGACGACACAGAGCUUUGGGGAGGGAGGGAGAACAUUUUGGAGGGAGCAGGCAAGGUUGUGCAGAAACAAGCUAGAGGCCCAGGACCCGCGGAGGAGGAGAAAGGGGCCCAAGUGAGCCAUCAGGAAGAACAAUGGCUUGAAGCAAAAGUCAUGGUGGGACAUGUGGUGCCGUGAAGGUCAAGCUGGAAGUUGGCCUGUCCUCUGGGCAACCCAGAGCACCAAAGUUUUCAGAGGAAGGGAGAAGAAACCAGUGUUUUAUAUAGGUUAAUGCAGAGGCUGUAUCAGAAGGCAGAGCAGAAGCCUGGUAGCGGACAGAGCCAUUAGGACACUGCGAUCAUCACCGUCCGUGGUUUCGAAUGACCAGUGUGUACUUCCAGGGAAGGAAGAGUAGGACACGGAGGUCAACACAAUGGGCAAGACGAGCCAAGAGAAGACCACUGCCUGACAUGAGCUUCUUGUUCCCUCUCCACGAGCAUCCACGGCACAGCCCCCGAAUUGUAUGGAAGCUGAAGGCGUGUUCCUUUGAAAACAACAAAGAACCUCCGUAGAGGGCAAUGCCUAGAAAGAGCACAUGCGAAGCUUCCGUAUUAUGGAGCUGGUGGCAGAGACCCGCCCUGAUAACCUCUCCACACCGAGCAUUUUAUUUUUCCUAGAUGUCUGAAAAAUUCGUGAAUUUAACGCCAAGGCAGUUACAGGGGUCCGACGCAGGUCAGGCGGUCCCAAUCACCCCUCUAACUUCAGGACCGCCUGCUCGUUAAGAACUUGUAAAGAAGCACAGGUACCAGCCGGUAGGAGAUGGAAUUCACUUACUGGCCUUCGUAAAUUGAAUCCAGACAGCUGAAGGCGAAAGACUUCGUAUUCCGCUAGACUUUGAAACUCCGUUAUCCUCUGAGCCAUUCUGACCUAGAAGAAAGCAGCAAGUGGGUUGGUUAAAUUACCCAGAUGCGAAUGAUCAGUUCACACCGCAUUAAACCAAAAGCUCACAUUUCAUGGACAAGUACAAUUCGAAACAAACGACGACGCUGAUUCAUGCAAGAGCUUGGUGUCGGAGGCUUAAUUUAUACAGAUAACAACCUGCCUCUUUGGCUCUCAGCUCAGUAAGACACCGGUUAGUGCUGCUACAUGAGAGCAGCAAGAAAACUGUUAACAGACAGAAGAGGUUUCAGGCAUCGUAUUUGAUUCAGACUUUGCCACCGAGAUGUGUGUUUUCAUCGGAAUGUUAUCUCCUCGAUGGUUAAUACAUUCCAGCAAAUGUAACAUGAAGGACUCCCAAGUUCAUGGUUGAGGUCACAGAAUUUUGAGGAUGUGUGAGAUUCUCCUUUCUGCGGAUGAAGAAAUGGUAUCUCCUGAGCCCCACCACCAGUUUCUGGUGGAAUCAAAAGUCACCACCUUUCUGUGACAUCAGACUUAAUUUAGGUGUUGUGGCUCUGAAAUGUUGAGCCCUCAUGGAGACUUUCAAUUUACAAAACACUCUAUAGUUCAUGUUAAGUUUAAACUUACUAUAUAAUCUUUUAAAACGUGGAAGUCAUUUUCAUUCUAGAAGUUCUAAUGAGCUCAUGUCUCUACUCUUCAUGGAGAAAUGAGUCCCAGGCCAGGGUACGACCAAAAGGACUCUCCCCCAAGACCUUCCCGUACUUUUAGACUGUUCUGGAAGAGCAAUUUGGCCCUGACUCUAUGGCAACUCAGAAAAUUAUAAAGCCCUUGGGCUGACUGAGACCUUAGGCUAAUGGAGUUCAAACCCUCAUUACACUUAAAGAACAAAAUAAAACAAAAACCAAAAACUGCAGUGCAAUCAGAUGGUGAAUUGGAGGGAGAGCUAGUCUAGAAAACCACAAAGAAACGUAUGUUCAUUGAGCAUCUGUUGGUGCAAAGCCCUGUGUUCUCGCCCUAAAUACAUGAUCUCACUCAGUUCUUACAAGUGCCCUGCAAGGUAGAUAAGCAUGGGCAGAAACACUCAGGCUGAGUUCUUCCCUCAACAAGUAUUUACCUGAGCAUCUGCUAGUGAAGGGCACCAAAGUAUACAAAGUAUACAAGAAGAAAUAGACACUUUUUCUUUCCUGUGCCCAGUGAGGUCACAGUGUCUCAGAAAUGGGGGAGAGGGAGUCAGGUGCAUUAAUUAACACGGUGUUGUUCAAACCCCAGCUCAUGACUCCUUAGACAACCAUGAAAAUUAAUUUAGCGAAUCUUGAUGAGCAUUAAAAAUAAAUGAAUAAACAAAUAAAUAGAACAGAAUGGAAAAUAUCAGCAUGCAUGAAGUGAAGGUGAGGAAACUCACAUGGAUAGAUGUCUACAGACCUGUAUCAAUCAUACACAUGUCUUUGUGUACUGGUUUGCGAUGUCUAAUACAUUUUCUUUCGUGGGUCGUGUUGAAAAAAAGCGUGAAAGCUCUCGAGUUAUCGAACAAAGUGACAAGUUCACACGAAAUGGUGACGGCAGAGGAGAGUCAGCGAGUUGUCUGCUGCAGAUUAGCACCUGUCCCCAGAAGGAGCUGGGGACAAUCUUGGUUUCUCUCCAAGCAGAAGUCUUAUAAGGGUGGGAUGCCCCAACUUAAUAAUGCUCAGCACUAGGACAAGCUUGGCAAGGACUGGUAUGAAGUUUCAGGGACCAGAGAGGAAAACUAAGCAGGGGUCCCUUCUCCCACAAUGUGGCGAAGAGGGUGGGCACCUCUGAAGAGGAGAGAAGGCACAAUGAUACUAGUUCUGUGUUUGCAUGAUGAUGAAGCCAGGCUUGGGAAGAGGGAAUUAAACCUCAAGAACGUGGAACCCACAUCAAGCCCUGAUUGCGAGACGUGUGGGAGCUUCUGGAAGGUCCACAAGCGCCAGCUAGAUCUGGAAUGAAUUCCCACUAUCCCACUGUCCAGAGAGGACAGAAGAGCCUCUAGAAUCUGUGAGCUCAGGAGAUGGGAAUCCAGAGGAGGGGGUCCUUGUAGGUGACCUUACUCUCAAGGUCAGUGCCCCCUUUGGGAUGGCAGGUUACCUCUGUUAUCAGGAUAUGACAGUUAUUAAAUUUUUUUCUUCUUUUAAUAAAGCUUCCUUCAGA